rnacentral:rRNA from 1 species
UAAUACGUAGGGGGCAAGCGUUGUCCGGAUUUAUUGGGCGUAAAGAGCGUGUAGGCGGCCAGACAGGUCCGUUGUGAAAACUGGAGGCUUAACCUCCAGACGUCGAUGGAAACCGUCUGGCUAGAGUCCGGAAGAGGAGAGUGGAAUUCCUGGUGUAGCGGUGAAAUGCGCAGAUAUCAGGAAGAACACCCGUGGCUAAGGCGGCUCUCUAGUACGGUACUGACGCUGAGACGCGAAAGCGUGGGGAGCAAACAGGAUUAGAUACCCUGGUAGUCCACGCCGUAAACGAUGGGUGCUAGGUGUGGGGGGUGUCGACUCCCUCCGUGCCGAAGCUAACGCAUUAAGCACCCCGCCUGGGGAGUACGGCCGCAAGGCUA